AACGAUGUGAACAGUAAUAAGCGUGCUCGUGCAUUGGACUACGCUGGAAUCUGCAGGCAAACACAAAGGAGAAGACAAAGUAAUAUGGCACUUUGAAGGCUAAACAGGUAUGCAUGCGACAGCCACUAAACAUUGUAACCAUUAUCUUCUACCUUGACCCAAAGAAAAAGAAAACUAUUUACACGGGAAAGCUCCCAACAAGCAAAAGAAGAAAAAUAAAAUAUUUUUGGGUUUUCUUCAAACUAGACACAC
rnacentral:lncRNA from 1 species